CUGAAAUGUUCGCCACAUUAGAAACUUGAUCAAAUUCUGUUAACAGCGCAUCGUGUCCUAUUGCCGCUAGUAGUCUGUGCUCGAUUGGUAUUCGAGUAAAUGCGAUACUCCCAACAUUUUCAUUUUCUACUUGUUUUUAUGAAUAUUCAUUCGCAAACAAAUGAUCCUGUUGGCGUCCUCCGCGUGCAGUCUCUCUUUGGCCUGGUUAGGGCAUGAAUAUAGUAACCUGCUAUGGAUAUACCAUAUACAUGGCCAGGCGCUAGGCAUCAGAUUAAUCCCAGCUUAGGCGCAAACGUAGCUGACGGAUGAAGAGGCCUGAUAUAAUGCGCGAGCUCAGAGAAGUUUUUCUUCUACAUGGAACGGGAACAAAAGCCAGCAGAAUAAUGUUUUGAACGGCUGAUAGCGAAGAGUUUAUGGAGAUUAGGAUCGCUCGACGUUAUUCGUUCCAAGUCGAUCAUCAAGAAGCUUUGUCAAAGCUAAGAUAGAUACCAGAAAAACUAAAAAAAUAUGAGAAAAAUGGAGCGUAUAGUAUAUAGCCCAAUACGGGUAUACGUGUCUCAUAUACGAGAAAGUGGGUUUACCGUUUAUCGUAAAUGGUCGAGGGAAGUUGUACGUGAAUUCGGAGGAUAAGUGUAAGCCACCCCAAGCAACUUAAAGCUUUGUUCCAGUAUGUACUCUUCUAUUGACACCAUGAUUAAUUGUUCCUGACGGAAACGAAAGCUUCAAGAGGAAAGUAUCUGCUGUUUAGUUGUGCAAACUGAUUAAAAUACGUAUCAUAUAUUAAAACUUUGUCUACAGAGCUCGUACCAGUAAAUAUAUAUAAAGAAUAUUGUAACAAAAUGUGGUUGGCUUUAAAGGGCAUCAAAAGUGACUAUUUUCAUUUUGUUUCGCUAUCAGACGAUAUGAAACUCGGAACUCAACGUUAUCUGCGGCGCAAAAAUUAUAUUAAGGGCAAUUCUAGAUAAAUUUUCUUUAAUUCACUUAAAAUUAAUCAACUCAUUUUAAUUCUAUUUAUCUAUAUUUACAAAUCUAAUUAAUGCUACUACCGCUUAAAGUUAUAUUCACUAAUAGGACGUUUCAAUGUCACCACCUGACUAACGAUUAAGCCCCUGUCGACAGCCUAAUGAUUUGACCUGUCGUCGUUUUCGAAGCACCGCAAAGUUGUCCGCUACUUUUCGAUAUCAAUGUUUGACACCAAUACAACAAUGCGCGAUAAACUUUCGCAAAGACUGCUAUAAUAGAAAUCGUAAAACUGAACCGCCUAUAGGCCUUUUCCUAUGACUUGCGAAGCAAUUUUCUUCUAUUGAUCGAUUGGCCUAUUUGCAAAAAUAACGAAGGCAAGGUUACAUCCACAUACUUUAGCUGCUACUAUAGGGUUGGCCAUUAUAUAUGUAUGUACAUAUAGGCAAAGCCUUAGGAAAAAUAAGCCAUUAGGAGAAAUUUAGCUUUGUUGUCGCUGAAAAACGAAUGCACAUAUAUCAUAAUGGUACAAACAAAAUGUGAAAUUCUGAAUAGAUACGUUUUUUUUUAUGGCUAUAUAGGCGCAGAACGAGGGUUCGAAGGGCGUGCGUACCUACUAGACAUUGCCAAAACAAAGUCAGUCCACUUGCACAAGACACACACAAACACAUACACACAAAUAUAUAUAUAUAUAUAUAUAUAUAUAUAUAUAUAUAUAGCUGUCUUAGACGAAUCCGGCUGAGCUUGAAAUUAUUUAUACGUUAGAGGUACUCUUUUUUAUUACUACCACAUUUUGUCCAUGCGUUUUUCUAGACAGUUAGGUACCUUCCGUUCGCUUUCCUAUAUGUGAUCUCUUUGCCUAUGAUUUCUCAAAAUAAAUCCUCAAAAGGACAACCUCGUAGCUACACGAACUUAGAUCGGGACAAUAAGUGAGUUAAAGCUAACGUUGAAUAUUUCAUUACUCAAUUCAUUAAAUAUUUGGGACACGGUCCAACAUUGUCGCCAGGUAACCAGGCUGUACGCUUUUUGUUGCCUUGCCAAUGGGAUAUGGGUAUUUCGAAAUGGCCAGCUGUAUGCACUGUCAGCGAAUGUUUUAUAGUAAAAUGUUUUAUAGUAAAAUUUACAGUAAAAAAAAAAAAAAAAAGUACCGAAUAUCCACUGCAAGUACAGUCAUCCGCUGCCACCCAAAUCGAUCUUUUUUGCGCCAUUCUCUCGCCUGAUCGCUCUCCGUCUGACGAUAAAGAUGCAUUCUUGGUCUGCAGCAGCCAUAUGUUCCAUGCUGCUUUUUUAUUAAUUAAAGGUCCGCAUGUUGCAUUGGAAUACAUAACCUGCAUUCUUAACCAGCCUGGAAUCGAUUCACGGGCGACAUAUUCUUUACUUGGUUUCUGCAAUUGAAAGAUUUAAGUUAUUCUUCUGUAACACGUUACAUAUGAGAUGUUAGCUUUGGCCGACAGAAUCACUAGAUUUUAAAAGCUUUGCUUUCGUCAAAAAUCCUCUCGAUUGUCGUUGGGGUUUUGACAUCUGGUUACCGACUCGCUGAUCUCCAACACCCCAAUCCCCGUUUUUUUCUUUACGUUUACGGUGCUUUCUCUUAAGGUCCAUUCACCUAACGUUUUCAUCAGCCUUUGAUACAUUUCUGUACGCCGUUUAGUUCUAAAAUUAUCCAAUUUCAAUGUCCGCCGGAUUCACUUGUAGCAGCUUCGCGCAAUACAUUGACAAAGGAAAAUCUGGUGAGGAUGUCAUUCUAAUUAGUCUAAAAUUAAUUUAGUACUGCCUAGAGAGCUUUCUGGUGGUGGGAACGCCGAAAGGCGGAAUAUUACGGAUCUGCGCCGGGACACGCACCGGCGGCUUUGGAAUCGGUGACGGCAUAUGAACGCGCUGUUUGAGGAAGACACGUCUACCCCGCGGGAGUUCAAGGACGGCACAAACGUGACGGUAAAUACCGAACGGCUAAUACCAGAAUCCUCUAAGGACUUAGAGCUGAAGUAUCAUGGGCCAUUCCCUAUCAUGAACCGAGUGACUCUGUACAGCCAGGCCCCCUGCCGGCAACUGACUGUGAACGGCAAGGAUAUUCGGCGAUAUGUUGAAUACAUACUCCGGUAGCGCGGUCGAAUGUAAAGAUACACGAGCGCUAGUCGUAUUUUAAUUGGGCAGGUUAUAAUAGGUAAAUGCGGCGCAGAUCUAUGUAUGACGGCUGCAGGAAGCAGAUUAUACCGCAGUUCACUGGUAGCAGGUAGUAAUACUACAUAUGUGUAUAUAUAGUCAUUAUAUUUAACUACCACUUACCGCAGUUGAAGUAUCAACUCAAGACCUGGCCAUUCACUAGUCAUCUUCAAAAACUAUUUAUCUACAAAGGGGUCCAGCGAGAUUAAACUUUGAGCAGACAGCGGUUCAACGAUCGUGGGAAGACAAACGCUUAGGAAGGCAAAAAGGAUGGAAACUGCAAAAAAACGCAAUUAUUUUUAAACAGAUUAACCGUUGCAAUUUAUGCGAAGGAGCCGAUUGGUAACUGGCAUUCCCCCCUUCAAAACGAUCGUUAAGUUUCGUAUAAAACUCGGCUGUAUUCAAAAUGGUUUUUUAAGCCCGUCAAAUCUAAGCCCUAAGGAUUUCAAGAUUUGUCUCAUAAAAAUAUUACUCCGAUUUUUAGAAGCUGCAUAAAAACUGGCAAUAACGUAGGCCGUCGAUAUCGGUAAAAAAGCAAACUGUGAAUCUCGUUUGCGCUUCGCCCAGCGCGAAUAACGGGCCAAUAGCUAAACUUUGUUCAAAUUUCGAAAGCGAGGCGCUCUUCUUUGUCAAGGCUAAUUUUUUUUAUUUUGGUUUAAAAAGAAUUGGCCUUCUUGUGGCACCAGGAAAGCGGGCAAACGCAUGCCCACUACGACAAUUCAUGAAAGUUUAUAUACAUAAAAAAAAAGACCGCGAAGGAAAUGAGCAGCGAUUUAUUUUAUAUAACAACUGCUUCGUAGUUCUCCGCUUGCAAUGAAGUGUCUACUGUUGUUUAUUAAAUGCGUUGCCAAGCCCUCAGGGGCAAUCUCUUUUUUUCUCACAAUUCUUUACGUCGAUUUAUUACUCUGUGUAGAUUGAUUAGCAUUUAAAAAUUUUAAAUUCGAGCAUAAUUCUUUCACUAGUGAUAACGAUGGGUUGCUAAGUUCAGGUAACAUACAAAUAUAUAUACGACAUCACCAAACAAUAGAUGUUUAUAUAAAACAGCACAUGUCCAGUCUUUCACGUUCUACAGAUGUUUUACAAUUAACCUUCCUCCCCUUUAAACAAAUCAAGUGUUACGUUUCGCAAGUUCCGUAGGACCUUUGAAAUGCGUUCAUUUUCUACAAUGUCUACCUUUUGCAAAUUCAUAUAUUAAUCUGCCGAUUCAAUGAAGACACCUGUUGAAGAGAAAAGUUAACGUUAUCGCCGUACACUGAUUUCGCUGAAAAAGCUGCAUGCUGUGACAGUCUCUCCAGCGUUGACUGCAUCUCGAACACUGCAGAGAAAUUACCUCGACGUUAACCCUAUUCGCGACGUGGUGAUGCAGAUCCGUAAGACAUCUAACGGUUCUCAGGCAGGUAUUUCGAUUAGGCAAAUGGGCCUAUAAGAAGAUACACAAUUCUUCAUCGCUACAGAGCUUCUACCUGCUCGUGUUCUGGCUCCCGCCUUGGUUUACGCAGAGCGUUAACCCGGUUUCCGUCCUGCUGUCAAUCUUUUAUAUAGCAGGAGACAUAGUUUCCCUUAUAUUCGGGUAUCAGUGGUUCACACACAAGGGAACUUUUCCGUGGCAUCUAUUGUGCCUAUUUUAGCUAAUUCGAUCACGUAGACCUGAGCAAACCACUCUCGGUCAGGUGUAUUUAAUCACCCGAAGCCCGCACUGACGAUGAUAAUCCUAAUCAUCAUUCGAAGAGGAUAAAAUCCGGCAGGCAACCCAUGAUGACCAGAAAAUCUUUGCGCUCAUUUAACAAAAAAAAAAUCAUGACAACAAGACGAGAAUAGAUUUAGGCACGAGCCCAUGCUGUGUCUUGCGUGACCGUGAAGAUAAUGAAUUCAAUAGUUGAACAGAUAAUGAUCAGGACCAGUUGUUAACUUGGCUUAAAUUUGUGCAUCUCUAUGCUUAUUACAUUGAACGAUUUUGAGGGUCAGAAAAAGGCGUUCUCACACUGAUUUUAUUGGACACCAAGCUACCGAAGAUUCCUGAAUCAUUAGAGGUUGCAAAAGAAUGCCGUGGUCGUCGAAAGCUUUACCUUAACAGUAAAUAAUAAAAUUGCCAGGUAGUAAAUCGCUUGGACAAUGGUCAACCUGGCCCAUGGUGCCUCAAACACAUUCAGCAGACCAAUAUUCGAAUAGAUACCCAGAGGACGACUGCCCACACAGAAUAAUCACUGGAGGUCAACUUAACAUCACAUCCAUAGGACGUGUUUAAUAAAUAAACGACUAUAUUUUGUGACUGCUCUUACGCACGUAUCAAAACGUUUUAUUAGAUAGAAGAUGAUUCAAUAAAGCUAAGAGAAUUAACAAGUACGAGCAGUGGCUUCUUCUAAGUCUAUAACAACUAAAAAGCUAUUUUGCCUGCGCCAACAAUGCAACAACAUAUUAGAUCUACGUACGUACGUUCAAGGACAAUAUGAAUGAUAUAUGGCCUAUUUGAAAUUGUGCCGGUCGAUUUUAUCCGAACGGCGUCAACACCCUGAGCUAAUGGCUUCGGCUCAACGCAAACCGAUA
rnacentral:lncRNA from 1 species